rnacentral:lncRNA from 1 species
GAGCUCAAAGCCCAUCCUGGACAUGACCCAAGUGACUAUCAGAACGCACCAGGGAAUAGGCUGAAAGUCGGCUUUGCUAGCGAUGGUGUGUCUGGCCAGGACACCUGGGCGUGAAGGAGGAAGGGGAAGAAGCCAUGGCGGAACUUGUGCUGGAAGCCUGGGAGAUUGUUGCCCUGAUCCUCAUGACCGUCAUCAUCAUGAGCACCCUGAUCGGGCUCCCCCCUGUCGUUAUGGUUAUGUGGAGGAUGAAGCAACGACAGAUCGUCUCUCUGGAAGGAACUACGUGAGCCUACACCGCUUGAGAAGCUAUCGAGGACCUAGGCCUGUGAAGGGCCGUCACCUGUGGAGAGAAUUCAUGAUGCUGCAGUGCCUCGCUCUUCUGGAGAAAGAGAAAUAAGGAUAGUGAGAGCAGUGAAAUGUCUGAACUCUUGAAUGCAUAGAGAAGCAGCGUGGCUCAGUGGAAAGAGCCCAGGCUUGGGAGUCAGAGGUCAUGGGUUCGAAUCCCGGCUCUGCCACUUGUCAGCUGUGUGACUGUGGGCAAAUCACUCGACUUCUCUGUGCCUGUUACCUCAUCUGUAAAAUGGGGAUGAAGACCGUGAGCCUCACGUGGGACAACCUGAUUACCCUGUAUCUUCCCCAGCACUUAAAACAGUGCUCUGCACAUAGUAAGCGCUUACCAAAUGCCACCAUUAUUAUUAUAUUUCAGUGGUUUGUUCACUUUGAUGUCAUUUUGGACUUUAUUUUUGCCUGAACUGUUUCCUCAGAUAGGUUCCUUGGAAGAAGGCUUUGUGGUUGUCAGGCUCUGUGCUUUUCUUCAUUGGAUUUUUGUUAAAUUAACUCCACGUCUCCCCACUCCUCAAGAGCCUCCAGUGGUUGCCCAUCAACCUCUGCAUCAAACAGAAACUCCUUGUCAUCGGCUUUAAGGCUCUCAAUCAGCUUUCUCCCUUCUAUCCUACCACUCUAAUCUCCUCCUACAGCCCAGUCCACUCACUUUGCUCCUUCAACACCAAUUUACUCAUUGUACUUCCAUCUCAUGUAUCUCACCAUUGACCCCUUCUCCACAUGCUUCCUCUGACCUGGCUCUCCCUUCCCCUUCACAUCCCAAAUACUGCUACUCUCCCCACCUUCAUAGCCUUAUUAAAAUCCCACCUCCUCCAAGAGGUCUUCCCCAACUAAGCCCUCAUUUCCUCUACUUCCUCUCGUUUCUCCAUUGCUUAUGCUCUUGGAUCUGUUCCCUUUAAGUACUUGAUGUUCACCCCGCCUCAGUCCCACAGCACUUAUGUCAAUAUCCAUAAUUUAUUUAUAUUAAUUUCUGUCUCCCCCUCUAGACUGGGCAGGGAAUGUGUCUAUUGUAUUCUCCCAACUAUAGUGCUCUGCACCCAGUAAGUGCUCAAUAAAUACCAUUGAUUGAUUGAUUGAACACUGUGGGACUAGUCUUCAUCGAGAUGGCUUUUCAAAGGCAGGGCCGAGAUUAAAGGAGGCUACUUGUGGUCCUUGUGGGUACCGGACAAGGAACACACGUGACAUCGCUUGUGUUAUGCCGAUACGCAGCUUAACCUAGUGACAUUAUAUGAACUAUUUUAAAAAAGUCUAUUACUGGACAUCUAUCCAGUACUAAUUAAACCACGCCCAAAGUGUGUCCCUGGGAGACUCCUGACCUCCCGCUUGCUCCAAUCCAUUGAAUUCCCCUCCUUGAUCCAUGUGGGGAGAAUGGUGGGCUGUGGUAUAUGAAAGGAGAGGGAAUUCCAGGUCAGAGCGAGCAUGUGGACAAGCGACUAGUGGUGAGAUAGACGAGAUUGAAGUACACCGCUUCCAACCCAUGGAACUCAGUGGAAGGAGUUAUGCUGGGGGAAAGCUGGGCUCUAGAAUAAAUAAAAUGGACAAGGAGGUGCUACAUAAUAAUAAUAAUGUUGGAAUUUGUUAAGUGCUUACUAUCUGCCAAGCACUGUUCUAAGCCCUGGGGUAGAUCAGGGUAAUCAGGUUGUCCUAUGUGAGGCUCACAGUCUUAAUCCCCAUUUUACAAAUGAGGUAACUGAGGCACCGAGAAAUGAAGUGACUUGCCUAAAGUCACAUAGCUGACAGGUGGCGGAGUCAGGAUUAGAACCCAUGACCUCUGACUCCUAAGCCCCUUGUUCCAGACUGUCCAUAAUAAUAAUAAUAACAACAAUAGUAAUUAUGAUACUUGUUAAGUGCUUAUUAUGUGCCAAACACUGUUCUCAGUACUAGGGUAGAUACAAGUUAAUUAGGUUGGACAUAGUCCCUGUCCCACAUAGCGUUUACAGUCAUAAUCACCAUUUUACAGGUGAGGUGACUGAGAUACAGAGAAGUGAAGUGACUUGCCCAAGAUCAUACAGCAGGCAAGUGGCGGAGCUGGGAUUAGAACCCAGGUCCUUCUGACUCCCAGGCCCGUGCUCUAUCCACUAAGCCACGUGAAAAGCUUCAAAAAAAAAUGGAACGCUUCACACAUUUGCAUGUCAUCUUUGCUCAGGGGCUAUGCCAGUCUUCUCUGUGUCUUUUCAGUUUUAGUGUAUAUACACAAGGGCCCAUCCUAUGCAGGAUCAAAACUUGGAAGAAGUCUGGAAGAAGGAAGAAAACUAGUGAGAUGAGAGGGUCUGCACCCAAUUUACAUAGUAACCCCCUUGGGCAUGGAUAACCAGGGAGGAGAAUUCUCUGGUGUUGACUGGGAUCCUCUGCAAGUUGGGGCAAAGUGGCCCCCGGCAUUUGAAAUCAAAUCCCAUCAAAUCAGGAUUUAAUUAACUGGGUGUGGUUUGUUAAUCCAGGAGACUGAAGCAAUACACAAAGUUAAUUUUCCAUCAGAACUAGCAUCAUCAGUCACGGAUUCCAAACCUUAGCCCCACCCAGCAGUGAUAACAUCCAGCAUCGCAAGAUUCAGAACUGCUUUCUCAGUAAUUGUGCUCAGACUCCAGGUGUUACUCUUCAUACUUGUAUAGAUGUGGUCUUUGCCCUCAAGAAGAUUGCUCAUAACGAACUAGAUAUAGCAUCCUGGCCCAGCCUUAAGAACCUCAAAUAUCUUAUAUGCUCUCAGCUGGUACUCAAUAAAUACCAUGUCUUCCUCUAACUGCACAACCUAGGCUGCCUCUUGGAAAUGUUUAUUUAUUUCAAGCCAUUUUAUCAUUCAGCCAUUCACAGUCAGAUCUCUGAUA